CCANGNNUUAANNCCCUGCAUGUCUAAGUAUAAGCACUUUAUACUGUGAACUGCGAAUGGCUCAUUAAAUCAGUUAUCGUUUAUUUGAUAGUACCUUACUACAUGGAUACCUGUGGUAAUUCUAGAGCUAAUACAUGCUAAAAACCUCGACUUCGGAAGGGGUGUAUUUAUUAGAUAAAAAACCAAUGCCCUUCGGGGCUCCUUGGUGAUUCAUAAUAACUUAACGAAUCGCAUGGCCUAUGCGCCGGCGAUGGUUCAUUCAAAUUUCUGCCCUAUCAACUUUCGAUGGUAGGAUAGUGGCCUACCAUGGUGGCAACGGGUAACGGGGAAUUAGGGUUCGAUUCCGGAGAGGGAGCCUGAGAAACGGCUACCACAUCCAAGGAAGGCAGCAGGCGCGCAAAUUACCCAAUCCCGACACGGGGAGGUAGUGACAAUAAAUACUGAUACGGGGCUCUUUUGGGUCUCGUAAUUGGAAUGAGUACAAUCUAAAUCCCUUAACGAGGAACAAUUGGAGGGCAAGUCUGGUGCCAGCAGCCGCGGUAAUUCCAGCUCCAAUAGCGUAUAUUAAAGUUGUUGCAGUUAAAAAGCUCGUAGUUGAACCUUGGGUCUGGCUGGCCGGUCCGCCUCACCGCGAGUACUGGUCCGGCUGGACCUUUCCUUCUGGGGAACCUCAUGGCCUUCACUGGCUGUGGGGGGAACCAGGACUUUUACUGUGAAAAAAUUAGAGUGUUCAAAGCAGGCCUUUGCUCGAAUACAUUAGCAUGGAAUAAUAGAAUAGGACGUGCGGUUCUAUUUUGUUGGUUUCUAGGACCGCCGUAAUGAUUAAUAGGGAUAGUCGGGGGCGUCAGUAUUCAGCUGUCAGAGGUGAAAUUCUUGGAUUUGCUGAAGACUAACUACUGCGAAAGCAUUCGCCAAGGAUGUUUUCAUUAAUCAGGAACGAAAGUUAGGGG
rnacentral:rRNA from 1 species